rnacentral:rRNA from 1 species
AUUGAACGCUGGCGGCAGGCCUAACACAUGCAAGUCGAGCGAGCGGCGGACGGGUGAGUAAUGUCGGGGAAAAUGCCUGAUGGAGGGGGAUAACUACUGGAAAAGGUAGCUAAUAACGCAUAACAUAAGAUGUGCCCAGAUGGGAUGUGCUAGUAGGUGGGGUAACGGCUCACCUAGGCGACGAUCCCUAGCUGGUCUGAGAGGAUUACCAGCCACACUGUAACUGAGACACGGUCCAUCUUCCUACGGUAGGCAGCAGUGGGGAAUAUUGCACAAGGGGCGCAAUCCUGAUGCAGCCAUGCCGCGUGUGUGAAGAAGGCCUUCGGGUGGUAAAGCACGUUCAGCGGGGAGGCGUUACCCGCAGAAGAAGCACCGGCUAACGCCGUGCCAGCCGCCGCGGUAAUAC